CAGCACCGCCAUGGAGCCGGCCGAGCCACGUGGCCGUCCGGCCGAGCUGCAGUGCGACAGGACCCGCUUGCCCAUAACUGGGGCCGCUCGGCUCAUCCCGGCGGCGCUUUUAAGUGCAAGCGACAGGG
ensembl:snoRNA